GACAGAGGUGCCAAGCGUUAGGCGGAAUCACUGGGCUUAAAGCGUGUGUAGGCGGAUCGUUAAGUACCUUGUGAAAUCCCACGGCUCAACCGUGGAACUGCUGGGUAUACUGGCGAUCUUGAGCCACCUAGGGGCGAGCGGAACAAGCGGUGGAGCAGUGAAAUGCGUAGAUAUCGCUUGGAACGCCAAUGGUGAAAACAGCUCGCUGGGGGUGUGCUGACGCUGAGACACGAAAGCCAGGGGAGCGAACGGG
rnacentral:rRNA from 1 species